rnacentral:misc_RNA from 1 species
AUAGAUAUCAGGUGAAAAACAGAGUGGCCUCAGAAAUUAUGCAAAGGGACAUCGUCUUCAAAAUUUACAGCAAAAAAGCACAAAAAGAAAUAAACUUGGAAAAGUUGCAAUUGCCAAUGUUAGCUGCAAAAACUGAAAGCAAAACCAUUGCCUGGGCAGGUCCGGGCUUGUCUGGUCCAUACGGCAGAAGCUUAGAAAUAAGAAAAUUGACCAAAGACUUGAUGAUUAUUCAAAAGAAUAGACAAGACCUCCUCCCUCAAACGUCCCUUCGCAAAAGAAAGGUCACGAUCACAGUAACUCAGACCCAUCUCAUUCAGUUAUGCUAAAAACCUUAUAAGAUGUUCAACCCAGAUUACAGAAAUCUGUACAAGGGAAUGCAAAGGGUAUA